AUUGAACGCUGGCGGCAGGCCUAACACAUGCAAGUCGAACGAGUGGCGGACGGGUGAGUAAUGUCUGGGAAACUGCCCGAUGGCGGGGGAUAACUACUGGAAACGGUAGCUAAUAACGCAUACCAUCGGAUGUGCCCAGAUGGGAUUAGCUAGUAGGUGGGGUAACGGCUCACCUGGGCGACGGUCCCUAGCUGGUCUUGGAGGAUGACCUGCCCCACUGGAACUGAGACACGGUCCAGACUCCUACGGGAGGCAGCAGUGUGGAAUAUUGCUCAAUGGUCGCAAGCCUGAUGCAGCCAUGCCGCGUGUAUGAAGAAGGUCUUCGGGUUUUAAAGUACUUGCAGCGAGGAGGCGUUACUCGCAGAAGAAGCACCGGCUAACUCCGUGCCAGCAGCCGCGGUAAUUC
rnacentral:rRNA from 1 species